rnacentral:lncRNA from 1 species
CCUUGCUGCUGUUUGGCUUUUGUUCCGUGUUCAGGAACUCUUUUGGGUAAAUGAAAAUCCGUCCUAAGUUCACCACCUCUAGAGAAAGAGUUGUAGAAAACCUUUCAAGCUGUGAUUCAGUGAAUAAUAACCCCCACUGGCAAGAAUUCUGUACAUGUACCCGGGAGGCUGAGGCAGGAGAAUCGCUUGAACCUGGGAGGCAGAGAUUGCAGUGAGCCAAGAUCACACUAUUGCACUCCAUCCUGCGUGACAGACUGAGACUGGUCUCAAAAAAAAAAAAAAAAAUUUCUCCACAUCAUCAUAAGUUUUAGAGGAUAAUCAGGUGUGUCCAGAAGGGAGGACAAGGGGG